rnacentral:tRNA from 1 species
GCCAGCAUGGUGUAAUGGUUUGAGUGCUGGACUACCACUCUGGAGAUCUGGGUUUAAUUCCCACUCUGCCA